CACGUAGGGUGCGAGCGUUGUCCGGAAUCAUUGGGCGUAAAGCGCACGUAGGCGGCCUCAUAAGUCGGAUGUGAAAUCCCUCGGCUCAACCGAGGACGUGCAUCCGAAACUGUGAAGCUCGAGUAUGGAAGAGGGUCGCGGAAUUCCCGGUGUAGAGGUGAAAUUCGUAGAUAUCGGGAGGAACACCAGUGGCGAAGGCGGCGACCUGGGCCAAUACUGACGCUGAGGUGCGAAAGCGUGGGGAGCAAACAGG
rnacentral:rRNA from 1 species